AACGAACGCUGGCGGCAUGCCUAACACAUGCAAGUCGAACGGGACCUUCCGGUUUAGUGGCGCACGUGUGCGUAACGCGUGGGAACCUGCCCUUAGGUGCGUAAUAACUCCCCGAAAGGGGUGCUAAUAGCGGAUAAUGUCUUCGGACCAAAGAUUUAUCGCCAUUGGAUGGGCCCGCGUUGGAUUAGCUAGUUGGUAGGGUAAAAGCCUACCAAGGCGACGAUCCAUAGCUGGUCUGAGAGGAUGAUCAGCCACACUGGGACUGAGACACGGCCCAGACUCCUACGGGAGGCAGCAGUGGGGAAUAUUGGACAAUGGGCGGAAGCCUGAUCCAGCAAUGCCGCGUGAGUGAUGAAGGCCUUAGGGUUGUAAAGCUCUUUUACCCGGGAUGAUAAUGACAGUACCGGGAGAAUAAGCCCCGGCUAACUACGUG
rnacentral:rRNA from 1 species